UACGAAGGGAGCUAGCGUUGUUCGGAAUCACUGGGCGUAAAGCGCACGUAGGCGGAUUUGUAAGUCAGGGGUGAAAUCCCGGGGCUCAACCUCGGAACUGCCUUUGAUACUGCAAAUCUCGAGUCCGAUAGAGGUGGGUGGAAUUCCUAGUGUAGAGGUGAAAUUCGUAGAUAUUAGGAAGAACACCGGUGGCGAAGGCGGCCCACUGGAUCGGUACUGACGCUGAGGUGCGAAAGCGUGGGGAGCAAACAGG
rnacentral:rRNA from 1 species